AUUUUUUUUGUAGGGAAAACUCGGUUUUUAUACGGAAAAUUUGGUUUUUGUAGGGAAAUUCGGUUUUUAUACAGAAAAUUCGGUUUUUGUAGGGAAAAUUCGGGUUUUGCAGGGAAAAUUCGGUUUUUGUAGGGAAAAUUCGGUUUUUAUAAGCAAAAUUCGGUCUUUGCAGAGAAAAUUCGUUUUUUGUAGGGAAAAUUCGGUUUUUAUAAGCAAAAUUUAGUUUUUGUAGGGAAAAUUCGGUUUUUGCAGAGAAAAUUCGAUUUUUUUGUAGGGAAAAUUCGGUUUUUAUAUGGAAAACUCGGUUUUUGUAGGGAAAUUCGGUUUUUAUAGGGAAAAUUCAGUUUUUGUAGGGAAAAUUCGGUUUUUGCAGAGAAAAUUCGAUUUUUUGGUAGGGAAAAUUCAGUUUUUAUAGGGAAAACUCGGUUUUUGUAGGGAAAUUCGGUUUUUAUACAGAAAAUUCGGUUUUUAUAGGGAAAAUUCGGUUUUUGCAGGGAAAACUCGGUUUUUAUAUGGAAAAUUUGGUUUUUGUAGAGAAAAUUCAUUUUUAAUAGGGAAAAUUCAGUUUUUAUAGGGAAAAUUUGGUUUUGGCAGGGAACUUCCUCCUCCUCCUCUUCCUCCUCAUUGUCCCCAUGUCUGGAGGUGACGCCUUCCUCCCCCUCCUCCUCCUCCUCCUCCUCGUUGUUCCUACACCCAGAGCUGCCUUCCUCCUCCUCCUCCUCCUCCUUCUUCUCCUCCUCGUCCUUCUUCUCCUCUUCCUCCUCAUUGUCCCCAUGUCGCAAGGUGAUGCCUUCCUCCUCCUCCUCCUCCUCCUCCUCCUCCUCUUUCUUCUCCUCCACCUUCCUGUUGUCCCCUACGUCCAAAUGUGACGCCUUCCUCCUCCUCGUUCUUCUCCUCCUCCUCCUCCUCCUCCUUCUUCUCCACCUCCUCUUCCUCCUCAUUGUCCCCAUGUCUCGAGGUGAUGUCUUCCUCCACCUCCUCCUCCUUCUUCUUCUCCUCCUCCUCUUCCUCCUCAUUGUCCCCAUGUCUCAAGGUGACGCCUUCCUCCUCCUCCUCCUCGUCCUCGUCCUCCUCCUCCUCCUUGUCCUCCUCCUCCUCCUCCUCCUCCUCCUCGUCCUCGUCCUCCUCCUCCUCCUCCUCGCUGUCCCCACACCUGCUGGUGCCUUCCUCCUCCUCCUCCUCCUCCUCCUCCUCCUCCUCCUCAUCCCAGCGCCGCCGUCCCGUC
rnacentral:lncRNA from 1 species